rnacentral:rRNA from 1 species
UGGCAAACGGGAGAGUAACACAUUGGCAACUUACCUUGAGGACGAGCAUAACCCCGAGAAAUCGGGGAUAAUUCUCGAUAAGAUUGAGGGGACAAAAGUCAUUCUCAAUUAAAGCAGCAAUGCGCCUUAAGAGGGGCCUAUGUCCUAUCAGCUAGUUGGUGAGGUAAAGGCUCACCAAGGCUACGACGGGUACCGGGUGUGAGAGCAUGACCCGGCUCACUGGGACUGAGACACUGCCCAGACUCCUACGGGAGGCUGCAGUCAAGAAUCUUCCUCAAUGGCCGAAAGGCUGAAGGAGCGACGCCGCGUGUAUGAUGAAGCCCUUCGGGGUGUAAAAUACUUUUCUUAGUGAAGAAACAAUGACGGUAACUAAGGAAUAAGGAGCUGCUAACCUCGUGCCAGCAGCAGCGGUAAUACGAGGGCUCCAAGCGUUAUCCGGAUUAAUUGGGCGUAAAGGGUCCGUAGGCGGCCUAGCGCAUCUCCUGUUAAAUCUGUCGGCUUAACCGAUAGGCUGCGGGAGAGAUGGCUGGGCUAGAGACCGGUAGAGGCAAAUGGAAUUGCUAGUGUAGGGGUUAAAUCCGUUAAUAUUAGCAAGAACACCAAAAGCGAAAGCAUUUUGCUGGAACGGUUCUGACGCUCAGGGACGAAAGCGUGGGGAGCGAAUGGGAUUAGAUACCCCAGUAGUCCACGCCGUAAACGAUGGAUGCUAAGCAUAGGGAGUAUCGACCCUUUCUGUGCUGUUUAUCUAAAUUAACACCUUAAGCAUCCCGCCUGGGGAGUACGGCCGCAAGGCUAAAACUCAAGGAAUAGACGGGGAUCCGCACAAGCGGUGGAGCAUGUGGUUCAAUUCG